rnacentral:lncRNA from 8 species
UUGUUUCAGAUCCUGAGCCCCUAAAAGAGAAAGCUACUCCAAGAAUCCCCACUAUGAGGAAAGGUAACCACACAAACAUAGUGGUGCCAAUGGUAAAAGCCAUGGUAAGAGUUGUCGCUAUAAGACCCAUCCCUAGAACAAAAGGUAACCACACAGCAAUGCAAAAGUUCAUCAAACUAAAUAUAGAUUAUUUUCAGUUCGAUACAAUGACAAUUGGAAACAUGCUGUUUAACUGUUCUAACACUUUUAGCUCCUGCAGUGAAGGAGGAGAAGCUAUCCAAGGAACCUGAGACAGGUAACAUGUAUCCUUCGUAACGGUGUGCAGGGCAGAAACUGUCCAUUAACAGUAUUAUACAAACAAGUAUAUCAUCUUUCUUUUUUUUUUUUAUCUUGCAUGCAAUUUACUGAAUAAUAAAUGAAUCAAAACGUUUUCCAUCAGCAAAAGAGAAACCAAAAGCGUCAGAGAAAAAAGGUGCGAAUGAUUUGACUGUGUUUUGAGUGGAUUUAUGUCCAGACAUUUUAUAUAUGUUUUCCUUUUAGAGUUGUUCAGUGGGUGACUAAGUGUUUGGUCUGUAUUCUUGUUUCAGAGAUUGUUGUUUCCAAAGAUAAAGCUAAAACAACAGCUGCCAAGAAAGGUAAUGAAUAUAUUUAGUUGCUAUAGGAUUCUCAUUGCAACAUUGAGCUGUAUGAAUAUUGUAUUUUGAAUGAUGAGCAUAUUUUGCAUUUUCAUUGUUUCAGAGCCUGUGGAAAAGGACAAAAUAACUCCUACGAAGAAAGGUAACAAGAACUUAGAUGAAGUUAUUCCAGUCGAUGAAUUAACAUAUAUUCUAACUGUGGAUAUAUUAUGGUUUUAGAGCCUGCAAUCUCCAAAGAAAAAGUCAAGACAAGCACUACCAAGACAACCACAAACACUUCCAAGAAAGAACUUCGUGCUGUCAAACCCGAAUGGUCGCUUGUAAAGAAUGUUGUUUCAGAACCUGAGCCCCUAAAAGAGAAAGCUACUCCAAGAAUCCCCACUAUGAGGAAAGGUAACCACACAAAUGUAGUGGUGCCAAUGGUAAAAGCCAUGGGAAGAGUUGUCGCUAUAAGACCCAUCCCUACAUCAAAAGCUCCUGCAGUGAAGGAGGAGAAGCUAUCCAAGGAACCUGAGACAGAAGACAAGGUAAAGGAUGUGAAGACAUCAGAUGCCAAAGCUAAAACCACACCCUCUGUGAAGACAGCCCAGCCCACUAAACCACAUAAAGCUGAGAAGACUGAGAAUAAAGCUGUGAAGGAGGCUAAAGAGAAAGAAGUGAAGCCUCCUGGUAUAGCAAAAGAAUCUCAGACUGACGAGAAUGCCAUGGACAAGAAGAAGCCAGGUCAGAAAGUAUUGCAGUGUGUUUUAAUGGUUGGAAAGAAUGCCCACUACCCUUUGCGACCUUCCACCCCUGGUAUGACCCCUGUGUCGAUGAGCCCAGCCAUGCGGUCCAUGAUGUUGCAGCAGGCGCAGCAGCAGAAAGCCAGAGCAGCGGGGCAGUAG